GUAUGAGUGUCAGGAACUUUGAAAUGGCAGCUCAAGAUUCUGCAGCAUACGUGAAGGAGAGAGGAUCAAAACAGAGAAGACGCAGUAUGAAUUCUCCUCUAGAGUUGUCUGAAUUAAGAAUUUGGGUGAUGGGAGAGAAUUGGGCAGAAAAAAAGCUCAGUGGGGAAUUUUCUUUUGGGAAGAAUGG